GUGCAAGAUGUGCUUUGUUAAACAGAUGUUUGAAGGCAGCAUGCUCGUUAAAAGUCAUCACCACUCUCUAAUCUCAAGUACCCCGGGACACAAACACUGCAGAAGGCCGUAGGGUCCUCUGCCUAGGAAAACCAGAGACCUUUCCCCGCCCCUCUCCCAGAGUGGGCGGGGACAGCAGUUCCAUGGGAGGCUUUCCUUGUGACAUCACAGGACCUU
rnacentral:lncRNA from 1 species